UGUUGGAAAGAUUUAUCGGUCAUGGAUGGACUCGCGGCCUAUCAGCUUGUUGGUGAGGUAAUGGCUCACCAAGGCGACGACGGGUAGCCGGCCUGAGAGGGUGACCGGCCACACUGGGACUGAGACACGGCCCAGACUCCUACGGGAGGCAGCAGUGGGGAAUAUUGCACAAUGGGCGAAAGCCUGAUGCAGCGACGCCGCGUGAGGGAUGACGGCCUUCGGGUUGUAAACCUCUUUCAGUAGGGAAGAAGCGAAAGUGACGGUACCUGCAGAAGAAGCACCGGCUAACUACGUGCCAGCAGCCGCGGUAAUACGUAGGGUGCGAGCGUUAUCCG
rnacentral:rRNA from 1 species